UACGUAGGGUGCAAGCGUUGUCCGGAAUUAUUGGGCGUAAAGAGCUCGUAGGCGGUUUGUCGCGUCGGAUGUGAAAAUCCAGGGCUCAACCCUGGACCUGCAUUCGAUACGGGCAGACUAGAGUUCGGUAGGGGAGACUGGAAUUCCUGGUGUAGCGGUGAAAUGCGCAGAUAUCAGGAGGAACACCGAUGGCGAAGGCAGGUCUCUGGGCCAUAACUGACGCUGAGAAGCGAAAGCAUGGGGAGCGAACAGG
rnacentral:rRNA from 1 species